GACGAACGCUGGCGGCAUGCCUAAUACAUGCAAGUCGAGCGAACAGAUGAAGUGCUUGCACUUCUGACGUUAGCGGCGAACGGGUGAGUAACACGUAAGGAAUCUACCUAUAAGCGGGGGAUAACAUUCGGAAACGGGUGCUAAUACCGCAUAAUAUCUUCUUCCGCAUGGAAGAAGAUUGAAAGACGGCUCUGCUGUCACUUAUAGAUGACCUUGCGGUGCAUUAGUUAGUUGGUGGGGUAAUGGCCUACCAAGACGAUGAUGCAUAGCCGACCUGAGAGGGUGAUCGGCCACAUUGGGACUGAGACACGGCCCAAACUCCUACGGGAGGCGGCAGUAGGGAAUCUUCCGCAAUGGGCGAAAGCCUGACGGAGCAAUGCCGCGUGAGUGAAGAAGGCCUUCGGGUCGUAAAACUCUGUUAUAAGAGAAGAACAAAUUGUAGAGUAAGUGCUACAGUCUUGUCGGUAUCUUAUCAGAAAGCCACGGCUAACUACGUGCCAGCAGCCGCAGUAA
rnacentral:rRNA from 1 species